rnacentral:tRNA from 1 species
GGCAACAUGGCCGAGCGGUCUAUGGCGUGUGACUCAAGCUUUCAAGCUUGCCUGCAAAAGCGGGUUUCUCAUCCGAGUAUUCGGGCGUGGGUUCGAAUCCCACUGUUGUCA